rnacentral:rRNA from 1 species
UACGUAGGGCGCAAGCGUUAUCCGGAAUUAUUGGGCGUAAAGAGCUCGUAGGCGGUUUGUCGCGUCUGCCGUGAAAGUCCGGGGCUCAACUCCGGAUCUGCGGUGGGUACGGGCAGACUAGAGUGAUGUAGGGGAGACUGGAAUUCCUGGUGUAGCGGUGAAAUGCGCAGAUAUCAGGAAGAACACCCGUGGCGAAGGCGGCUCUCUGGGACGGUACUGACGCUGAGACGCGAAAGCGUGGGGAGCGAACAGG